AUUGGUUCAGUUUUCACCUGACCUCUUAGGAGACCCAGACAAUUAUAUCCCAGUAUAUUGCCUUAAUACACCACUCCAUAUUAAACUAGAGUGAUAUUUCCUGUUUGUUAUGCAAUCCUAUGAUCCAUCCCUAACUAACUAGUUCUUCUCUUAACCAAGGUGCCAAUAAUCCAUUUAUCCAAAUAAUGAAGCAUAAUAUUCCAACCAUUAAGUCAAUAUCUAUUUUGAAUUCUAGCAGCAUACCUUCUUACACUUAUACGGAUUGAGAGACAGCCCACAGAACACCCCUUCACCAUUAUUGGCCAAGCGUCAUCCCUCUUGUACUUAUUUCUCAUUCUCAUUUUAACUCUAUUCACCAGCCUAAUUGAGAACAAAACACU
rnacentral:lncRNA from 1 species